GAUGAGCGCUGGCGGCGUGCCUAAUACAUGCAAGUCGAGCGAACAGACGAGGAGCUUGCUCCUCUGACGUUAGCGGCGGACGGGUGAGUAACACGUGGAUAACCUACCUAUAAGACUGGGAUAACUUCGGGAAACCGGAGCUAAUACCGGAUAAUAUAUUGAACCGCAUGGUUCAAUAGUGAAAGACGGUUUUGCUGUCACUUAUAGAUGGAUCCGCGCCGCAUUAGCUAGUUGGUAAGGUAACGGCUUACCAAGGCGACGAUGCGUAGCCGACCUGAGAGGGUGAUCGGCCACACUGGAACUGAGACACGGUCCAGACUCCUACGGGAGGCAGCAGUAGGGAAUCUUCCGCAAUGGGCGAAAGCCUGACGGAGCAACGCCGCGUGAGUGAUGAAGGUCUUCGGAUCGUAAAACUCUGUUAUUAGGGAAGAACAAAUGUGUAAGUAACUAUGCACGUCUUGACGGUACCUAAUCAGAAAGCCACGGCUAACUACGUG
rnacentral:rRNA from 1 species